AGCGAACGCUGGCGGCAGGCUUAACACAUGCAAGUCGAACGCUCACCUUCGGGUGGGAGUGGCAGACGGGUGAGUAACACGUGGGAACGUACCCUUUGGUUCGGGACAACUCUGGGAAACUGGAGCUAAUACCGGAUACGCCCUUUUGGGGAAAGGUUUACUGCCGAAGGAUCGGCCCGCGUCUGAUUAGCUAGUUGGUGGGGUAACGGCCUACCAAGGCGACGAUCAGUAGCUGGUCUGAGAGGAUGAUCAGCCACACUGGGACUGAGACACGGCCCAGACUCCUACGGGAGGCAGCAGUGGGGAAUAUUGGACAAUGGGCGCAAGCCUGAUCCAGCCAUGCCGCGUGAGUGAUGAAGGCCUUAGGGUUGUAAAGCUCUUUUAUCCGGGACGAUAACGACGGUACCGGAGGAAUAAGCCCCGGCUAACUUCGUGCCAGCAGCCGCCGCGGUAA
rnacentral:rRNA from 1 species